UUCCUUCGUUUCAACCCUAGCCGCAACUCCCUCUCAUCAUCACUCUCUCUCUCUCUGUCUCUCUGCUCUACACUCCACCUCUACCUCUCCCGCCCCUAGCCGUCAAUCGUCGUUCGAGAGGGCAGUAGGUUGUUGCUUCUGGCAGCUAAAAGCAAUUUAUGUCAUCUCGUCGUUGCGGUGGGGAAGGACGUGAAGGAGAGCGAAACGACGCUGCUUUGGGCGGUAAAGAACUUCCCGGGGAAGAAGAUAUGCCUGCUCACAAGCCUUCCCGCGUGCUUUCACUUUCAGAAGGAAAUGGUCCUGCCAGUAAAUUGAAACAAGGAGCCAUCAAUUAUGUGUGUUCAUCGUCAUCUCGUUGAUAUAUGAAUUUUCUAUUUCAGCUGGACGCUUUGAAACUAUUCAUACUCGAAGAAGAUAUUCAGGUUUUUGAGCAUUUCACUACAUUGGUUUCAGAGUUGGAAUGGGGGUCGUAGAGGCAAUGCAACAUUUGGAGUUGUUGAGAACAAUUGCUUCACUUAAUGGUAGUCAUUCUGAUGUAAGAUUGGGACAAUUGCCCAUGGAAAAUGGAGAGCGCUCUUUCCAUUCCCAGUCACCUAAGUUAAAGAGGCGCAGAAUCCCUGCAAUCUAUAUCUAAAUGUUAUGCAGAGAAUAAUCUUUGGACUCAACAAUUUUUACCUGUUUGUUCCUGUUUAUGUGACUUUUUGAGUUGAUUUGGCAUGAUCCUUAAUGUAGUGAAAAUUGGGAAUGGAUACACCUAUGUUUUUUUUUAUUGAUCCUUGUAUUCUACUGCAGUGCAAAUGUUUUUGGGGUUUCAACAGAGUCUAUGCAGCUUUCAUUUGAUGCCAGAGGAAAUGCAUUUAUUAUUUCUCUUAAUGCAUCAGAGUGGACCUCUUUAGUCCAGUAACUCGCCUUCAGUUUGGGUUGGUUUGUUAUUGUAGGGCUCAGAUUCAUCUCUACGUUCCAUAAGGAGAUAAAAUGAGUAAUAUGCUAUGUGUUUAUGUUGCUGGACUAGUAUUCUUAAGAAACAGAGCUUGUGUCAUACAAUACUCUUA